GUCAGGCGUUUUUCAGGAGCGCGCUGCUAACGGCCUUACGUGCUGUAUCAGUCUGCGAGGGCUGCCGUGACAAAGAACCACAGCUUGCAGGGUUCUAACAGCAGAAGUUUGUUUUCUCACGAUUGUAGACGCCGGGAAGUCAGAGAUCAAGGUGUGGGGAGGGUGGGUUUCUCCUGAGGCCUCUCUCCUCGGCGUGUGGACGGCUGCCUUCGCCCGGUGUCCUCGCGCGGUCGUCCCUCUGUGCGUGUCUGUGUCCUGAUCUCGCCUCCUUAUAAGAACCCCAGUCCUAGUGGCUUAGGGCCCGCCUGACCUCGUCUUAACUUCUUAUCUCUUUAAAGACCCUGUCUCCAAACACGGUCACGUUCUGAGGGUCAGGGGGUUAGGACUUCAACGCAUGAAGCAACCCAGCCUGUGACAUCUGCUUUCUCUCUCUUCCUCCUCACCCUGGGGAGCUCCCAUGAAUCUAUUUCUUAUCCUGUUUUAACAAUAAGGAGACGUCUGUGUUGGAAACAAUCAAAUCAUUUGCAAUCAAACCGUCUCUCCCUCUGAACAAACAGAACCGCUCGUCCUGGUUGUGUGGGUGCGGUGCGGGAUCCGCGCCGGAGCUGGCUGAAGAACCACUGCGAUGAUGUUCUUGUGUCCACCGUGGGUGAGACCAGGAGGCUCUGACAACAGACAUGCGGCUUUUCCCUCGUGGUGGUGGCUCUCAAGGGCUCCUUCCUCGCACGUGCAAACACACCCACCCCCCCCCCCACCCAGUAUUUCCCAAAAUGCGUAUGGAGCACAUCCUAUGAGAGCAAUUAAUGUGCAUCCCAUGGAGGGAGGUUUUUUUUCAACCAAAUACGGUUGUGAAGUAUUACGUAAACAAUAUAGAAUAGACUUCCUUGCUGCAGGAUUUCUUGGAAUCUCUAAUACGCUAUGUGACGUGUGAAUCUCUCAGAUGGCAUUAGAGCAGGGGUCGGCAAACUUUAUCUGUAAAGCACUGGCUACCAAGUAUUUCAGGCUUUGUGGGUCACGUGAUCUCCAUUGCACUACUCAACCCUGCUGUCGUAACCUGAGAGGAGCCGUGGACAACAUGUAAGUGAAUGUGUGGCCCUGUUCUAAUAAAACUUUAUUUACAAAAACAAGCAGCAGGCCAGAGUUGGCCUACAGGCCGUAGUUUGCUGGCCCCGUCUUGGAGAUGGAGUUUUUUCCAAAUGUAUUGGAACGUGGAGUUCUUUUUUCAAGAAGUGCUCACGUCCCGCAGAUCACACUCUUCUUUCCAACAACCCUUGGUGCUCAGUUGGGCGCCUUCGCACUGUUUCAUGUCCACCCUGUCUGUGUCGACGUCCCCGCCUGCUGGGAUAGUGUUUUAUGACGCUGGCCCCUGGACUGAGACGAGUCAUCUAGGCUCCAGGCUUGACCCUAAGGAAUCUGAACCACCUUGGGCUGGAGGAUUCCCCAGCGAGGGCCCUCGCGUGCAAUUUUUGGGACUUUUGGGUUCAGCAGAACUUGAGACACCUCGCCACGUGUGUGAUCACGGGAACAUUCUUAACAAAAGGGUAUAAAAUUCAACUGGGUUUGACCUUUUGAGUUUAGCAGAUUUUCCACCUGGUCUGAGCUGGAGGAAAUGGGCUUCGCAGCGGGAAGGCUGCUUCUCCGGCUGUGGAAAGCGCUCCUGCGUCCGUUCUCGAGGCGGUGCGCUUCUUGGCUGAGCCAUGCUGUGGGUUCCUCGCUGACGGUUAAUUGAGAAGUGCUGAGCUGGAGCGUCUGGGUGGAUAGCCCAUUCAGAGCACAGUUCCAGCCAGCCUGGGGUCAGAAAUAUUUGAGCCCCCCUCUCCCCACCAAAAAAUGCACAUAACUCUGCAGGAAUCUCACACGUGGGUGGACACAUCUAUCUUGAGUUUCAUCCACUCGGGGCCAACUUCUUUCUGGCACGAAGGGUGCAAGCUUGGAGCACAGACCCAGCCACCGGAUAUUUCAAAUGAUUUGAUGCUGGGGCCUCCUAUGGUCAGAAGAUGGGGAUCCUUCAAUUGGAGUCAUCGCCCAUCCGCUCACGAGGGUGUUGGGGAAUUCUGGCAGCCUGCCUUUGAAUCCUGGCUCCAUCACUGAGUGACAGACUUUGGGCAAAUCAUAGAACCUCUCUUAGCCUCAGUCCCCUCAGGUGUAAAAUGGGAAUAAAAUAACACCUUCCUCGGAAGGGCUUAAAUGAUCUCAUGCCUUUCAUGGUCAGUCCGGGGCCGGGUACCCAGCAAUGGGCUUAAAAAGCAACGCCCUUUUCUAAGUAGAGAAUAUUUUUAUUCUUGAGUUGACUGCCUUUGCCAAGGCAAAGGAGGGCCGGCCCCACCCCCUCCCGCCACCGCACCCCCCCACCCGCCCUCUUUGUGACUUGUUUUUCCUUUCAAGGGUGGUCUCUGCUCCCUGCACUGUGAUGUCACUGCCUAAAAAUGCCGGGCGCAGGCGUGGGGAGGCGGAAGGGGCACUGGCUGCGAUUUCUCCCCGGCCAGCCUUGUGCUCCCCAGGGGCAGCCCUGGCCGUGGCUCAGGAGCUCCAGCCUCCUUCCCAGCGGAAUUUAUGAUUCCCUCCUCAGCCGGAGCUGGUUCACUCCUCCAGAAAUAAACCACGGCCGGCAGAAGGCACAGGCCUCAGCCCCGACUUUGUGUCUCCUACCCGAUGCAUCGAGCGGCCCACGAGCCUGGUAGAGGGGAGCUCCCUGGUAGACCUGGGUCCAGGGCUACAUUUGCUGUCAAACAGCUGUGGGGCCUUGGGCUGGUCACUCAACCUCUCUGGGCCUCAGUUUCUCCAGCUGGGAGAGAAGGGAUCUAGACCAGUGGAUUCGCAAAAGCUCAGCUGGGUCACUGAUCCUACGUUAAGCAGGUCAUUUUCUCUCUCUAGAAAGUUCCCUGCUGUGUCAAUUGGCCUACCAUCUUGGAAAACAGAAUGUGAAGUGUCGAUUGACAGAGGACAUCCUUACUCCCAGCUGGCACCUCCGAGUUCACGCCGUCUUCCUUCUGCGUGAAGGAUGUGGAAACCAACACUUCCCCGGGGAAGUUCUGGCUGAGGGGAUGAAUUCUGGCUCCUUGGUUUCUACAGGAUUCUCUUACCGCCCUUCCGGUCGCUCCAGGAUGACCACAAUCCGGACACACUGUUCUUUUCAGACCCGCUCUCCCACCGCUGGCCGAUGGGAAGCCCUCCAAACCUGGAAGGUGGGCCUUCUCAAGAUCCCCAGGGGGGCCCGAAGCUGUCCCUCAUCUUGCCUGGAAGGUAGUCCUUUUUUCCACGUGAGCCAUCCCAGGGCCACGGACAGUCUUUUCUGGAAGCUGCUUGGGUUCUGAUUUGUCUCAGAGUCUCUGCCGUUAGACGGAUUCAGUGCACCUGGUCUCAGACGGGGCUCUUUGAUUGUCGCUAGAGUAAUCUUGCUUUUGUGGGGUGGGGGCAUUUUUUUUGACAUCAUUUCCCCUGGAGAGUCAACACUUUAUUCCGUGGUAAUCCAUGUGUCACGGGUAAAGCUGACGCGCCUUCCUGGCCCGGGGACGAUGUGUGACCCAGGUCUGGCCACUCUGAAUCCUCCACGCACCUGCUCCUCCACGAUAAGCGACACAGAGAUAGACGUGGGAGCCUCCCAAGCCAACCUGGUCUUCCCCAGGCCUUUCCCAGGGCCUUUGGGACAGAUGUGAUCCCUUCUCCAGGACCCACGCUUUGUGGACCAGGAAGGCCCGGUGUUGCCGAGGAUCAUUUUUAGGUGAAAGCAAGAUCGAGACAACCAGCGUGGAGAGGUGGAGAGAGAGAGAUUCUGGAUGCCUUCAGUCAGAUCCAAGGACCCGAAUGUGACUGAGACCAGACCCUCCCAUUGAUUUUCCAGUGACGGGAACCAACGAAUGACCUUCCGGGUUAGGCCAGUUUGAGAUGGGUUUCUGGCUCUCUCAAGUAGGAGUCCCAACUAAUUUGCCAACUGGGAAUAAAAAACAAAAAUGGGGUCAUCAGAGGAAGUUGGGGGCUGAUGGGUUCAGAGGAAGAGCUAAGCAUUCAGACUCCAGGAAGGAGGGAUCCAGUGAGCAUCAGGCAUCCUGGCCUCAGGGACGCAGGGAGUCCAGGCACCUGCGUGCGGGCUCCAUUGGAUUUCCACUCCAACGCAGAGUUCCAGGGAGCAAUUAUCCAAGUGACCCAGCUUGGGUCCCAUGCCUGACCUGUUGCUGGAGAGCUGGGUGGACCCCACGUGAUGGGGGAGCAGUCACCGCCCCCGGAGGAAAGGUGUCUUAGGAUGAAGAGAAGGCUGAGCAGUGACAAGUGCAGAUGUCCACCGCAGCUCCGGAAGCAGCAGAUGGCACGGGGCCAUUUUCUCUCUGGUUCGAUGAGACUGCCCUGGGGUGCUUUCGCUCGAAGGCUUGGCGGAGGGGCUACCCGUGGGGCGGAGGGAAAGUUGGCUUUUGGAGUUAGACGAUGGAGAUGGUAACAAUGCUGCCUCUCCGAGCUCCCUGGGCGACCCACUGCAAACUACGCGUCAGUGCGUUCCUUAGAAGUACCCAUUUCCACCCACACUACAGAGGUGCCGAUUAUGACCGUCUCUUGUCCUCUCAUCGCCAUGGUGACUUUGGGGACACAUCAGGUGAGGCUAACUCGCCAUGAGAAGAUGUCCUGCUGAGGAAUGCAAUUCCGUCUUGACCCAGGGGACCUCGAGUUUCAGAGCCUGUGCACCCUCUUUGAGAAACGUGGGGACCCCGGUCUCUCUUUGACGUUAACUAAAAUUCAGACGCUAUGAUAAAACUGAUCAAGAAGACGGGGCUGAAAGAGUCUUUGUUUUCAAGCGGCAACUGACAUCCAUGGCGAUCCCAACAUGCAGUUGUCUUUUUGAAUUAUUCCUGAAUCAUUCGUGAAACCUAAUUUUUGAAUAAAAAGAUUCUUGCCCUGACUUUCUCUGUCCUGACGUCAGCAGCCGUUGAUGCUCGAUGCCUUCCCGUUACUUCAC
ensembl:lncRNA